rnacentral:rRNA from 1 species
CAGUCGCCGCGGUAAUACGGAGGGGGCUAGCGUUGUUCGGAAUUACUGGGCGUAAAGCGCACGUAGGCGGCUUGGUAAGUUAGAGGUGAAAGCCCGGAGCUCAACUCCGGAAUUGCCCUUAAGACUGCCGAGCUAGCAGGUGAGAGAGGUAAGUGGAAUUCCGAGUGUAGAGGUGAAAUUCGUAGAUAUUCGGAAGAACACCAGUGGCGAAGGCGGCUUACUGGCUCAUACUGGACGCUGAGGUGUGAAAGCGUGGGGAGCAAACAGGAUUAGAUACCCCCGUAGUCCCUGUCUCUUAUAU